rnacentral:rRNA from 1 species
AGUAACGCGUGGGUAACCUGCCAUAUACAGGGGGAUAACACUUAGAAAUAGGUGCUAAUACCGCAUAAGCGCACAGUAUUGCAUGAGACAGUGUGAAAAACUACGGUGGUAUAUGAUGGACCCGCGUCUGAUUAGCUGGUUGGUGAGGUAACGGCCCACCAAGGCGACGAUCAGUAGCCGGCCUGAGAGGGUGGACGGCCACAUUGGGACUGAGACACGGCCCAAACUCCUACGGAAGGCAGCAG